UACGGAGGAUGCGAGCGUUAUCCGGAUUUAUUGGGUUUAAAGGGUGCGUAGGCGGGCUUUUAAGUCAGCGGUAAAAAUUCGGGGCUCAACCCCGUCCGGCCGUUGAAACUGGGGGUCUUGAGUGGGCGAGAAGAGGGCGGAAUGCGUGGUGUAGCGGUGAAAUGCAUAGAUAUCUCGCAGAACCCCGAUUGCGAAGGCAGCCUUCCGGCGCCCUACUGACGCUGAGGCACGAAAGUGCGGGGAUCGAACAGG
rnacentral:rRNA from 1 species